rnacentral:rRNA from 1 species
CACGUAGGGCGCGAGCGUUGUCCGGAAUUAUUGGGCGUAAAGAGCUCGUAGGCGGCCUGUUGCGUCCGCUGUGAAAGCCCGGGGCUUAACCCCGGUUCUGCUUCCGGUACGGGCAUGCUGGAGUGUGGCAGGGGAGACUGGAAUUCCUGGUGUAGCGGUGGAAUGCGCAGAUAUCAGGAGGAACACCGGUGGCGAAGGCGGGUCUCUGGGCCAUUACUGACGCUGAGGAGCGAAAGCGUGGGGAGCGAACAGG